AGAGUUUGAUCAUGGCUCAGGAUGAACGCUAGCUACAGGCUUAACACAUGCAAGUCGAGGGGGAAACGACAUCGAAAGCUUGCUUUUGAUGGGCGUCGACCGGCGCACGGGUGAGUAACGCGUAUCCAACCUGCCCGCCACUUGGGGAGUAACCUUGCGAAAGUAAGACUAAUACCCAAUGACGUCUCUAGAAGACAUCUGAAAGAGAUUAAAGAAUUUAUCGGUGACGGAUGGGGAUGCGUCUGAUUAGCUUGUUGGCGGGGUAACGGCCACCAAGGCGACGAUCAGUAGGGGUUCUGGAGAGGAAGGUCCCCCACAUUGGAACUGAGACACGGUCCAAACUCCUACGGGAGGCA
rnacentral:rRNA from 1 species